GAUGAACAAUCACUUGCAGGUCACGGAGUUAAAGCAGAUCACCAGGAGAUGACAUACCUCAGAAAUGUUCCUUUCAGGAGGGAAGCAGCAGACACCUAUCUCCUUUGCUGGUCUUCUGUGUAUUCUAUGCCCCACAAUUGGGAAAUAUGAGUGCUGAAUACUGCUCGAGAUUUGACCCAACGACUUCACACGGA